UACGUAGGGUGCAAGCGUUGUCCGGAUUUAUUGGGUUUAAAGGGUGCGUAGGCGGCUCCUUAAGUCAGCGGUGAAAUCCCGGGGCUCAACCCCGGAACUGCCGUUGAUACUGGCGGGCUUGAGUUCGGUCGAGGCGGGCGGAACUGGUGGUGUAGCGGUGAAAUGCUUAGAUACCACCAAGAACCCCGAUUGCGUAGGCAGCUCGCUUGGCCGAAACUGACGCUGAGGCACGAAAGCGUGGGGAGCGAACAGG
rnacentral:rRNA from 1 species